rnacentral:rRNA from 1 species
UCCGUAGGUGAACCUGCGGAGGGAUCAUUACCGAGUUUACAACUCCCAAACCCAAUGUGAACCAUACCAAACUGUUGCCUCGGCGGGGUCACGCCCCGGGUGCGUCGCAGCCCCGGAACCAGGCGCCCGCCGGAGGGACCAACCAAACUCUUUUCUGUAGUCCCCUCGCGGACGUUAUUUCUUACAGCUCUGAGCAAAAAUUCAAAAUGAAUCAAAACUUUCAACAACGGAUCUCUUGGUUCUGGCAUCGAUGAAGAACGCAGCGAAAUGCGAUAAGUAAUGUGAAUUGCAGAAUUCAGUGAAUCAUCGAAUCUUUGAACGCACAUUGCGCCCGCCAGUAUUCUGGCGGGCAUGCCUGUCCGAGCGUCAUUUCAACCCUCGAACCCCUCCGGGGGGUCGGCGUUGGGGACCUCGGGAGCCCCUAAGACGGGAUCCCGGCCCCGAAAUACAGUGGCGGUCUCGCCGCAGCCUCUCCUGCGCAGUAGUUUGCACAACUCGCACCGGGAGCGCGGCGCGUCCACGUCCGUAAAACACCCAACUUUCUGAAAUGUUGACCUCGGAUCAGGUAGGAAUACCCGCUGAACUUAAGCAUAUCAAUAAGCGGAGGA